rnacentral:rRNA from 1 species
UACGGAGGGGGCUAGCGUUGUUCGGAAUUACUGGGCGUAAAGCGCACGUAGGCGGCUUUGCAAGUUAGAGGUGAAAGCCCGGGGCUCAACUCCGGAAUUGCCUUUAAAACUGCAUCGCUAGAAUUGUGGAGAGGUAAGUGGAAUUCCGAGUGUAGAGGUGAAAUUCGUAGAUAUUCGGAAGAACACCAGUGGCGAAGGCGACUUACUGGACACAUAUUGACGCUGAGGUGCGAAAGCGUGGGGAGCAAAUGGG